rnacentral:lncRNA from 10 species
CGAGUCUAGGUCCUCUCCUUGGCGUUCCUUCUCUGGGUCCACUAGAAUCCCAAAUGAUGAAGCAGAAAGUGACCCUCUUCCUUCUGCAUGCCAUCUACUGCUCUUGGCUUACGGCCUGUGUGCUGAACACCUGCAAGGAAGACUGCUUUGUAUUCACACCACUGUGGGACUAGAGGCUGAACACAGACUGGAGAAAGGUUUCCAGCUCUUGACCUGGUUAAAUAGGAACAAGAAGAUCAUGGGUGAGGCAGCUGCUCAGAAACAAAUGUCUUUCAACAAUUACCCCCAGGCAUGGGUAGAAGAGGAGACUAGGACACGGACACACAUCGAGAAAGAUCAUGGGAAGACACAGAGAGAAGGCAGCCGUCUGUAAGCCAAGGAGAGAGGCCUCACAAGAAACCAACCCUGCUGACACCUUAAUCUCAGGCUUCUGGACUCACGAAUUGUGAAAAAAAAAAAAUUAAUUUCUGUUGUUUAAACCACACAGUCUGUGGAAUUUUAUUAUGGCAACCCUAAAAACUAAUACAUG